GAUCCUGGCUCAGGAUGAACGCUAGCUACAGGCUUAACACAUGCAAGUCGAGGGGAAACGACAUUGGAAGCUUGCUUCCGAUGGGCGUCGACCGGCGCACGGGUGAGUAACGCGUAUCCAACCUGCCCAUCACUUGGGGAUAACCUUGCGAAAGUAAGACUAAUACCCAAUGAUAUCCCACGAAGGCAUCCGAAUGGGAUUAAAGAUUUAUCGGUGAUGGAUGGGGAUGCGUCUGAUUAGCUUGUUGGCGGGGUAACGGCCCACCAAGGCAACGAUCAGUAGGGGUUCUGAGAGGAAGGUCCCCCACAUUGGAACUGAGACACGGUCCAAACUCCUACGGGAGGCAGCAGUGAGGAAUAUUGGUCAAUGGGCGAGAGCCUGAACCAGCCAAGUAGCGUGCAGGAUGACGGCCCUAUGGGUUGUAAACUGCUUUUAUAAGGGAAUAAAGUGAGUCUCGUGAGACUUUUUGCAUGUACCUUAUGAAUAAGGACCGGCUAAUUCCGUG
rnacentral:rRNA from 1 species